AGUUGCCAAUCAGUCUGCUUUAAAUGCAGUUAUCUAAGUAAGGUUUCACCAAGGAACUGAUGAUAAAACCGCUGAAGUUUGAACAGCUGAUACAAGAAGAAGCCAUUCUUCAGCAGAGGGCAGGACAAGGGAAACAGUUUCAUUUACUGCAAAGUCAAGCUAAGCAUUUGAUUGAGGAUUCACUUUUGUUAUGAAUUUACACAUUUACAAGCCUGGCAGCUUACACAAGAAGAAAAGAGAAAGAAGAAAGACAAGGAAAAAAAGAAAGGAGAGGGAGAAGGAGAAGAGAAAAGAAAGGGGAAAAUGGAAAGCAUCUUGAGAAAGAAAAAAAUUGGAAGAGAACAGAGAAAUCAAGGUGAUUAUCUCAUUUGUACUAAUAUAUGUAGUAAAUAUAUGAACUGCAUAUUUGCUCCUUUUUUUCCCCUUUGAGGUAGCAUGUAACAAAAUGAAAUGAUGGAAUCUCACUGUUGUUGUGGUAUAAAGCCCAAAUUCAAAAUGUUCUUGGUUUGAAUCAGUGCAAACAGUGGAUAUUUUAACACAGUUGACCCUAGCAAUACAGAAGAGCCAGAGUGAUAGCAGGCAGCCUAAGAGGACUCAGCCUCUUUGGGAUCAGUUGACUAAACAUCUCUCCAAGUGAGAUGAAUACACAUUGGGAAUUUCCUUAUUUAAAACCAGUAAGAAAUAAAAGUCAUCAGAAGGAAUUUAGAGCUGCCA
rnacentral:lncRNA from 1 species